rnacentral:rRNA from 1 species
UACGUAGGGGGCAAGCGUUGUCCGGAAUCAUUGGGCGUAAAGGGCGCGUAGGUGGCGGGACAAGCGUGCGGUGAAAGCUCGGGGCUCAACCCCGAGUCGGCCGUGCGAACUGUUUUGCUGGAGCACUGUAGAGGCAGGCGGAAUUCCGGGUGUAGCGGUGGAAUGCGUAGAGAUCCGGAAGAACACCGGUGGCGAAGGCGGCCUGCUGGGCAGUUGCUGACACUGAGGCGCGACAGCGUGGGGAGCAAACAGG